rnacentral:rRNA from 1 species
CAGUAGCCGCGGGAAUACGUAUGUCACAAGCGUUAUCCGGAUUUAUUGGGCGUAAAGCGCGUCUAGGCGGUUAAUUAAGUCUGAUGUGAAAAUGCGGAGCUCAACUCCGUAUUGCGUUGGAAACUGGUUAACUAGAGUACUGGAGAGGUAAGCGGAACUACAAGUGUAGAGGUGAAAUUCGUAGAUAUUUGUAGGAAUGCCGAUGGGGAAGCCAGCUUACUGGACAGAUACUGACGCUAAAGCGCGAAAGCGUGGGUAGCAAACAGGAUUAGAUACCCCGGUAGUCCCUGUCUCUUAUACC